rnacentral:tRNA from 2 species
CGGGGCGUGGCGCAGCCUGGUUAGCGCACCAGUCUGGGGGACUGGGGGUCGCUGGUUCAAAUCCAGUCGCCCCGA